rnacentral:lncRNA from 1 species
UCAUGCCUGGCUGAUCACCAUGGUACAGCGACCUAGCGUGCACGGGCUUUAUCUUAAGCUGUUGUUUCGGUGCUGGGCUAGGCCUUCAUUACUGUCGUUGUGCUCCUCACGCUCACUGCAUGCAACUCAUUACGCUGUUCAAAAUUAUCAUUUUGGCUCUGUAUGAAAUUGUUUAUUCUAAUUGAACGUGCGCAUUGUGUCCUAUUUAUAUUGUAUUAACAAAGACAUCGUUACCAUUUACUCCAAGAUCAACACCAAGAGGGGCAAUGUCUUCAAGAGUAGAAAGAGAGAAAUGAGGACCACUGACUGAUGAGGGAAUUGUCUUACUGAGAUGAGGAUGAGCCUGCCUCAAGCCAUCGUAAGCUGGGAGGACCGACGAUGGACUGACACCGCCUGCUGGCCUGGCCACUUCUGAUUCUUGAGGACAUUAGGACCACCAAGCUUGGACGAGACUGGACAAUGACGAAGCUGCUCUACUGGACAAGGAUGCCCUCAUCGGAAACUUGAGAAAAAAAACUAGCUUGCAUAAUAUGAAAUGAUAAAUCAGACUGCAUAAUGCAACGUCAUUAAUGUUGUACACUAAGGCAACACCACUAAAAUGAAAUGAAAAGUAAUUUUGAUUUCAUUAAAUUAUUUAUGCCUCUAAAAUAAUCUGAAACCGGAUACUGCAACAGACAGUUAACAAUGGACAAUAAUGGAAACUUGCUGAAAAAUUAUUGUAAGGGUAAUGAUUUGUCACUGGCUUUUUAGCAGUGCCAUGUCUGGGAGAAGGGAUGUUCCUUUGAUCUGUCCUGGGUCAUCCAAAAUUAUUGCAUCAAUAAGUUAAUAAUUUCAUACUACCUUUAAUGCAUUCAAUUGGAUCUUCUCGGUAAAUUAUAAACGAGGUCUCGCCUAAGGCUUUCUAUUUGCUUUUUGUUCAGUUGACAAUGGAGAAUUUUGCUUUAUAAAUUUAAUUUGAUAUUGAAAGUGCAUUUUUAAAAAACCAAUUUAAGUCAUAAGAGUUUUGAAAGAUUUCAAAAAUGAUUAAUUUAUUGUUUAAAAACUGAAGAAAUGUAACAAACUUUAUUUAAAUUUAACGUCUUUAACAAGACGUCGGUUAAACUAAAACGUGACUUUCUUUCCAUUGUAUAUUUAUUAGAAAACACAAGAACGUUUAAUUUUUAGGAAAAUUUAAAGAAUAAACUGUUCAGGAACUUCUAUCCAUCAAAAUGCAUUGCAACAGGUAUGAAUGACACUCAAA